rnacentral:rRNA from 1 species
UACAGAGGGUGCGAGCGUUGUUCGGAAUUAUUGGGCGUAAAGGGCGCGUAGGCGGUGCGGUAAGUCACCUGUGAAAUCUCCUGGCUCAACUGGGAGCUUGCAGGCGAAACUGCCGUGCUGGAGUGUGGGAAAGGUGCGUGGAAUUCCUGGUGUAGCGGUGAAAUGCGUAGAUAUCAGGAGGAACACCUGUGGCGAAAGCGGCGCACUGGACCACAACUGACGCUGAGGCGCGAAAGCUAGGGGAGCAAACGGG